AUGGCUCCAGAACUGCUUUUCAUUGUCUUUAGUAUUCUUUUGCUGCGAUCCCGCCGUCUGGUGAGGAACAGACGCGUCCGAAGGGCAAUUUUGGCUCUAAGAUCCAGAUAUCAAACUAACGAGCAACCAUCACAGUAUUGUGUGCAGAACAGGCAUGUUCCAUUGCUGCCGAUGUACAUUGAAGGCCAAACUGACCUCCGCCCAGACUUCCGUCUCUCUCGGUCAACGGUGGCCAAACUCAUCGAUGUCCUGCGCUCACCGUUUGACCAUGGCUGGGGUCUGGAAGUGGAGGUUUUAGUGUACCUUUUCUGGCUGGCAAGCGCAACCUCUUACUGUGUGGUGUCAAGGGGAUUUUCAAUUCCACGGUCCACAGUCUUUGGCUGUUUCCGAAACCACACACUCGUUCCCUAUUCACUACUCACUACAUGGGGGACAUGGAUUGAGUGAACUACGUAGCGCACUCAAUUCAAAAUUAGCUUUCGGACACUACGGCGCACGUAAAAUGACGUAAUGUUGUCGCAUAAUAACAACGAAUCGUUCCCCGGGAAAAGUGGCCAGGUCCAUUUAAUUAUUUUAACCCAUCCGAAACAUACCCAAACACAUUCAGCGAUCGUUUCUUUGAAAAUGCAAUAUUUUACCCUAUUAUAAUCUUUAUAUAAUAAUAAUAGAUUAAAAUAUUAAUGUCAAUAACAUAACACUUCCUUAUUAUCUCAAAUAAUUAGUGUCCGGUGACAUUUCCGGUGACGUAAUCUAAUAAGACGGUUAUAGUCGCUUAUAAAUAAAUAAAGGCAAAAAACAUAUUUAAAAUGGAGGCAGCAAUGUUCCACUAAAGUGAAAGAAUUUUACGCUCUAGUAAGAUAUGUGAAACAAAUAGCAUAUAAUAAUAAUAACAUAAUAUUACAUAGAUUUGUACGUCAUUACUGCUCGUUUACCCGCCAUCGACAGAUUACCACGUGAUACCGUAAAGGCUGAUGGGAUAUAUUACCGAGUUCGGGUGCAUCGGUUGUACACUACUUUUUGCAGUGCAUUGUGGGAUACAUUGAGUGCACUCGCGAUGCUCACUAAGAAUUCGGACACUAUUUCAAAAUGGCGUCCACGCGAUUGAGUGCACUAUGUAGGGUAUAGGGGGUGGUCCGCUUUACGGUAGAAUAAUUUACGACACAUUUGUGUAGAUACAAGUUCUUCUUCUUCGAUAUUCUAAGGCUGCGGCAAACUGUGAUAUGUUGCAUCACCGCCAUCCUGUGGUCUGUCAUGAUAAUUGCAAUGGCAUACAACGCAAUAUGUAAGGUACAGUAUAUGCAUAUUAAAUGCUUUUACUUAAUCACGUUGUUCUUACAAAUUGCAAAAUUUAUCCCGUCAACCGAACAUAAUGUGCCAUUCAUAAUUACAUCACAGCUAAACUUGAUUUCUUCCCCAACUACUAUGCUUUUCAGUUUCCAUCCAAUCAUUUCUUUUUGCUUCUCGAUUUGUUUUCCUUGUCUUUGCCUACUUCCUUUUAAUAUUGUCCAAAUUUAUUAACAUCCAUAGCUUUUGAAAACACAUUAAAAAACUACAUUUUUUAAUUUUUAUUUUUAAUUUAAUUUUUAUUGCUUACUUUCUGCUGUCUGCUUUGGUGCUGACAUUUUCUUUUUCCAUUCUGAUCUCUAGUGUUUUGGUGUAAUAACUAAUAAAAAAUAAAAAUAAAUAAUAAAAUACUAUCACUCCACAGAAUUAUCUAUUGUAUUAAUAUUACAAUUUCCUCUCUUGAUAUUAAUAAUAUAUUAGAUAUUGGAUAUUAAUAUAUUGGAUAGUGAUCAAUGCCAACAGUUGUGUCAUUGUUUACAUCCCAUACAGCUGUGUCUGCUCUGGAAUGGGAUAAUAAUGUGGAGUUAUACUGAUUUUGAUAGCAUUUUAGGACCUCUUCCUGUUGAGGAACCAUAAUGUAAACAUGCCAAUCUUUUCAUAUCCAUAAACUCGUCUAUCACAGUGCCAUCAUGUUCUAUUUUCCC
rnacentral:lncRNA from 1 species